rnacentral:rRNA from 1 species
GAUGAACGCUGGCGGCGUGCCUAAUACAUGCAAGUCGAGCGAACGGACGAGAAGCUUGCUUCUCUGAUGUUAGCGGCGGACGGGUGAGUAACACGUGGAUAACCUACCUAUAAGACUGGGAUAACUUCGGGAAACCGGAGCUAAUACCGGAUGAUAUUUUGAACCGCAUUGUUCAAAAGUGAAAGACGGUCUUGCUGUCACUUAUAGAUUGAUCCGCGCUGCAUUAGCUAGUUGGUAAGGUAACGGCUUACCAAGGCAACGAUGCAUAGCCGACCUGAGAGGGUGAUCGGCCACACUGGAACUGAGACAGGGUACAGACUCCUACGGGAGGAAGCAGUAGGGAAUCUUACGCAAUGGGCGAAAGCCUGACGGAGCAACGCCGCGUGAGUGAUGAAGGUCUUCGGAUCGUAAAACUCUGUUAUUAGGGAAGAACAUAUGUGUAAGUAACUGUGAACAUCUUGACGGUACCUAAUCAGAAAGCCACGGCUAACUCCGUG